AAGUAAUAAUUUAUUAAUUAUUUAGUUAAGUUUUAUUAUUAAUAAAAGUAAUUUUUUAAUUUAAAUUUUAAGUAUAUUUUAUAGAAAAAAUAAUAUUUAUGGUAGUGAAUUAGUAUUGUGAAAGAAAUUUGAAAUAUUAUGAAAAUAAUUUUAUUAAAAAGAAAUAUUGAUUUUGUGUACCUUUUGUAUCAGGGUUUAUUAAAUAAGAUUUAUUUAUAAAUAAAUUUCUCGAAUUUAAAAGAUUUAAUAAAUUAUAAAAGUUAAUGUGGAAUAAUUAUUUUUAAUAGUUUAUUAGUAAUGAAAUGUUAUUCGUUUUUAAAUAUAUCUAGUUUUUUAAGAAAUGAAUUUAAUUCAUAUAUUUUUAAUAUAAAUGGUUAUUUUUGUAAUUAUUUAUUUAUUAAUAUAAAUAUAUUAAGGGAUAAGCUUUAAUUUAAAGUCUAUAAUUUUUAUUUAAGUUAAAUAUAAAUGUAAGGUUAGAAAUAUCUAUUAUUAAUAAGUUUGUUUUAAUUUAUAUUUUUAUUAUAUAAUUUAUUUUUUAUUUAGAUUUUUUAUUAAAAUAAAUAUUUUAAUAAAUGAAAUAUUGAAAUAAUGAUAAAAUUAGUAUAAAUAUUUGUUAAUUUUAUAAAUUAAUAAAGAUUAAAUUAAGGAAUUCGGCAAAUUUAGUACUCACCUGUUUAACAAAAACAUGUCUUUUUGAUAAUAAUUUAAAGUCUAACCUGCCCACUGAGAAUUUUUGAAGGGCCGCGGUAUUUUGACUGUGCAAAGGUAGCAUAAUCAUUAGUCUUUUAAUUGAAGGCUUGUAUGAAUGGUUGGAUGAGGUAUUAACUGUCUCAAUUUAAUAAAUAAUAGAAUUUUAUUUUUAAGUUAAAAAGCUUAAAUAAAUUUAAAAGACGAGAAGACCCUAUAGAUCUUUAUAUUUAAUUUUUUAAUAAUUUUUUAGUUAAAAUUUGUUUUUAAAGGUUUAGGUAUUGAGUUGGGGUGAUGAAAAAAUUUAAAAAACUUUUUUUUUAUUUUAACAAUGAUUUUUGAAUAAUUGAUCCAUUUUUUGUGAUUAAAAGAUUAAGUUACCUUAGGGAUAACAGCGUAAUUUUUUUGGAGAGUUCUUAUCGAUAAAAAAGAUUGCGACCUCGAUGUUGAAUUAAAGGUUAAUUUUAGGUGUAGAAGUUUAAAAUUUUGGUCUGUUCGACCAUUGAAUCUUUACAUGAUUUGAGUUCAAACCGGCGUGAGCCAGGUUGGUUUCUAUCUUUAAUUUAAUAAAAUAUCUUAGUACGAAAGGACCAGAUAUUUAAAAUAAUUUUUAAAAAUUGAAUAAUAUUAAU
rnacentral:rRNA from 1 species